rnacentral:rRNA from 1 species
AGUGAACGCUGGCGGUAGGCCUAACACAUGCAAGUCGAACGGCAGCACCGUAAGAGCUUGCUCUUACGGGUUGCGUGUGGCGGACGGGUGAGGUAUACAUCGGAAUCUACUUUUUCGUGUGGGUUAUCGUAGGUAAACUUACGCUAAUACCGCAUACUACCUACGGUUGAAAGCAGGGGCUCUUCGUACCUUGCGCGUUUUAAUUCGCCGAUGUCGGAUUAGCUAGUUGGCGGGGUAAAGGCCCACCAAGGCGACGAUCCGUAGCUGGUCUGAGAGGAUGAGCAGCCACACUGGAACUGAGACACGGACCAGAGUCCUACGGGAGGCAGCAGUGGGGAAUAUUGGACAAUGGGCGCAAGCCUGAUCCAGCAAUACCGCGUGGGUGAAGAAGGACUUCGGGUUGGAAAGCACUUUUGUUGGGAAAGAAAAGAAGCAGGUUAAUACCCCGCUGUACUGACGGUAACCAAAGAAUAAGCACCGGCUAACUACGUG